CCUACGGGGGGCUGCAGUAAGGAAUAUUGGUCAAUGGACGCAAGUCUGAACCAGCCAUGCCGCGUGGAGGAUGAAGGUCCUCUGGAUUGUAAACUUCUUUUAUUUGGGAAGAAACCCGGGAUUUCUAUCCCGGUUGACGGUACCAGAUGAAUAAGCACCGGCUAACUCCGUGCCAGCAGCCGCGGUAAUACGGAGGGUGCAAGCGUUAUCCGGAUUCACUGGGUUUAAAGGGUGCGUAGGCGGGCAGGUAAGUCAGUGGUGAAAUCCCCGAGCUUAACUUGGGAACUGCCAUUGAUACUAUCUGUCUUGAAUGCUGUGGAGGUAAGCGGAAUAUGUCAUGUAGCGGUGAAAUGCUUAGAUAUGACAUAGAACACCUAUUGCGAAGGCAGCUUGCUACACAGAUAUUGACGCUGAGGCACGAAAGCGUGGGGAUCAAACAGGAUUAGAUACCCGAGUAGUC
rnacentral:rRNA from 1 species